AACAACCGCAAGAAGCAGCUACUACCCCUAAGGCUGAGGAAGCAAAAGGGAGAAGUUGCAAUGAUGAAAACUUAGAAUGUAGAGGGUGGGCGCUAUGGAGCUGGAGCUUGGGCCUCUGAAGAGUGGAUGCCGCUUGCUAGUGCUGAUGUCUCUCAGCUCAAAGGAGUCUGAGGCUCAGAUCUGAGAAGCCUGGUGUCCACAUUUUGGAGGGCAGUGCAACCAAGAUGGUUCUGUAAGUGUUUGGGAAAACUGCCACCUGGAUUCUUCUACUGCAAUGGGAAGGAACUGUCACUGCCAGAGUGAAGAAGCGGUGCUGGGUGACAUUCACAGGACUAGGACGCAGGCAGAAAAGAGAGGAUAAGGUGAGAUUCCUUCACAAAUGGUGGCUUCAACUGGAAUUCAUUGUCCCAAAUUCUGAGAACUCCUGAGGAAAGAUCCAAAAGUAAUAUGGCUCAAGAUUUUUGAAGUGCCCAGGCCCUAUUCAGGCUCUUGGAUGGCUUGCCCAUCUCAAAGGAAUAAUUUAAUUGAUGAAGCAGAUACAUAGAGCUCAAGCCUUCAGAAACCUCUGCAGUAUUCAUUGAAUGAGAAGCUCACACUCCUUCUCGGUCAUCUAUUACUCAUUCAUGGACCAUCACAGUUUGCUUUCCUCUAACUGAAGGUCUAGGAAGGAAAUCAGUUGGAAUUGGAGAAGGGGACUAAAGAUUAAAUACUGAAAGAGGAAUCUUCUCCCCUUCUCUUCUCUCACCUCCAAGUGUUUGAUGCUAUGUCAAAUAAUGUUAAUUACAAACAGUAAUAUGAAGGUGCAUCAAAUGCACAAUGUUUUCCUGAGAAAAUGUAUUAUAGCUACUUUACAACUCAGGCUAUAAUUAAGUGGACUAAAGAGGAAUGUAUGAAAUACAGAGUAUGAACUUUCCUUAGAGGUUUAAAAAGAGAAAAACGCAGAUAUCAGUAGGGACCUCCUUUAGGAUUCCUUUUGAAUAACAUGAUUCAUAUUACUUUUUUAAAAGAAUAUUUUUAACUGCCUGGCUCCCUUUGUAUUUUUUAAAAGGCCAUGGAGACGUAUGGCUAGGUCUUGGGGAGACAUAGUAAUUAGAGACAUAAGAAUAGCUAGCACAAUUUCUCAUAUGGAAAACGUCUCAACUGUGGUCAUCACGACAUGGGUUUGGGAAUAUGCCACCUCAUUCCACAAGACAAAACUGGGAGAAAAUAUCUUAGUCAUAAGGAUGUGGAAGUGAAUUCCCCAAAAAACAAAACACAUGCUCCUCUGUACACCUUUGAAAAUACCACAUUUAUCAUAGGCCACAUUUUAUUUAUAGAAUACUGUGUUAUCUACCACCACCUGAAAUGAGAGACCUAGGAUAAAUAUUUUUUGGUCAAUGAGUUUUGCAUUUUACAUUUUCCCAAGUUUUCAACUUCCUUGAUUACUCACGUGGAAAGCAUUCUAAGGAGAGAGAUUUCAGAGUUGUUUACUAUGAUGAACACACUUUAAGUAGCCUCAUGAUCCUCGUCUCUUGGAAUUCACAUCCUUGUCUUGUUUUGUUUUGUUUUGUUUUGUUUUGUUUUGUUUGAGACGGAGUCUCGCUCUGUCGCCCAGGCUGGAUUGCAGUGGCGGGAUCUCGGCUCAUUGCAAGCUCUGCCCCCUGGGUUCAUGCCAUUCUCCUGCCUCAGCCUCCCGAGUAGCUGGGACUACAGGUGCCUGCCAUCACGCCCAGCUAAUUUUUUUGUAUUUUUAGUAGAGAUGGGGUUUCACCGUGUUAGUCAGGAUGGUCUCGAUUUCCUGACCUCGUGAUUCACCCGUCUCGGCCUCUCAAAGUGCUGGGAUUACAGGCGUGAGCCACCGCGCCCGGCCACAUCCUUGUAUAAUUCCCUCUCUUUGAGCAUAGUUAGGCCCUGUGACUUGCUCUUAACCAGUAGAAUAUGGCAAAACUGGUGGGAUAUCACUCCUCUAAUCACAUUACAUUAUGUAAGACUGUCUUGUUAGCAGACAUGCUAUAGUGUCUUGUUUUCCUUGAGGAGUUUGAGGAAUCAAGUUCCCAUGAGUUGUAUAGCUGCAAGAAAAUGAAUAACAACUAAGUAAAUAAACUAAAUAAGCUUGGAAGCACACAAUUCCCCAGUUGAACCUCCAGAUGAGAACCUAGCCGUGGAUGACACCUUUAUUGCAGCCUUUUAGAGGACCAAGAUUAGCUGUGCUGGGAACUCUGACAUAGUAAAUGUGUGUUGUUUUAAAUCACUAAGUUUGUGGUAAUUUGUUAUGUAGCCAUAAUUUUUUAAAAAUGGAUACACUUGCUUUUGCUAACUUACUUUUCUGACCCAAUAUUCUUGUACUGAGUUUAUCUCUCCACAAGUUUGAAAACUCUUGGUCUUUUGUUGUUUUCAUGAUCAAUAUAAAUUACAUCCACCUAAACAAGGAUACUCUUCUCUUUAUUGUAGAAGUAACUUAGGUCACAGCAUUAAAGAAGAGCCUUGUAUGAGCAACAGUAUUUCUCAUUCUGCCCAUAUUUCAAGCCAUCUUGUGAUUUUCAGUGGCAAGUAAUUCUCACACUCCUCCUUAGAAUGGAGAUUGAACUUUGUUCAAAAACCCAAUCUGACUGCUGGUGGGACUGUAAAUUGAUUGAAACUUUCUGGAGGGCAUGGUUGUAAUACAUAUCUAAGCUCUAAGCAUAUGCAUGCUGUUUGGCUUAAAAUUCCCUUUCUCGAAAUUUAUCUCAGGAAUAUAGUCAGACAAGCGUUCAAAGAAGUAUGAUAAGGAUGUGCACUACAGCAUUGGGUUAUUAUUAUUAUUGUAUAAAUUUAAGGGAUACAAGUGCAAUUUUGUUACAUAGCUAUAUUGUGUAGUGGUGAAGUCUGGGUUUUUAGUGUAUCCAUAACCCAAAUAAUGUACAUUGUAUCCAUUAAGUAAUUUUUCCAUCAUCCAUUCCCCCUCAACCCCUCACCCUUCAGAGUUUCCACUGUCUAUCAUUUUAUACUUUAUGUUCAUGUGUACACAUUUUUAGCUUCCACUUAUAAGUGAGAACGUGUGAUAUUUAUCUUUCUGUGUCUGAGUUGUUUCACUUAAGAUAAUGGCCUUAGUUCCAUCCAUGCUGCUGCAAAAGAUACGAGUUCAUUCCUUUUUAUGGGUGAAUUGUAUCUCAUUGUGUAUAUAUGCCACAUUUUCUUUAUCCAGCCAUCCACUGAUUGACACUUAGAUUGACUCCAUACCUUUGUUAUUGUCAAUAGUGCUGUGAUGAACAUAUGAGUGCAUGUAUCUUUUUGAUAUAUUGAUUUCUUUUCCUUUGGGUAGAUACCCAGUAGCGGGAUUGAUGGAACGAAUGGUAGUACUAUUUGUAGUUCUUUGAGAAAUCUCCAUACUUUUUUCCAUAGAGAUUGUGCUAAUUUAUAUUCCCAACAGUGUAUAAACGUUCCUUUUUCUCCAUAUCCUUGCCAACAUCUGUUUUUUUUUCUUUUUAGUAAUAGCCAUUCUAACUGGAAUAAGAUGAUAUCUCAUUGUGGUUUAAAUUUGCUUUUCUUAUGGCAUUGUUUAUGACAGUAAAAAAUUAAAACUUGAAGACAACCAAAAUGGAUAAAAUAGGCAGUAGGUAUUAUAACUUAGAAACUAUCAACACAAUGGAAUACCAUGUAGCCAUUUAAAACUAUGCUGCAGUAGCUGGGGCAUGGUGGCAUGCACCUGUAGUACUCCCUACUCGGGAGGCUGAGGUAGGAAGAUCACUUGAGUCAGGAGCUUGAGGUUACAGUGAGCUGUGAUCAUGCCACUUCAUUCCAGCCUGGGCAAUCGAGCAAGAUCCUGCCUCAAAAAAAAAAACUGAAAAAAAGAGGGGAAAAUAAUAACACCUAUCUAGUGAGGUGGUUGGGACAGUGACAUGAAAGAAAACUUUGCUGCUGAUAUAUAAUUUUGGUCACAGGACAAUGUAAGCAAAACAAAAAAGAAUCUAUGAGAGAAUGCGUAAUAUGUCCCCCAUUUAUGUGGUGUAUAUACAUGUGUAAAAUAUACAUACACAUUGAAAAUAAAACUAUUGUCCAAAUGUUAACAGUGAUUACACCUGAGUAGCAAAAUCAUGCAUAAUUUUAUUUAUUAAUUUCCUUGUUAUAUCUUCUAAUGUCUUUACAAUGUUCACACAUAAUUUAUGCAAUUAACAAAUUCCUAAUGUGGAUUUAGCUUUUCUUAAAAAAUGAUGCUCCCUGUUUCUAAUUCCCAGUCCCUAGGUGAGCUGGGUCUUGCUGUUGGCCCAGAGACCCCAUGAAUCAGCUGUCUGAUAUUGAGAAAGUGGUCUGGGCAUACUGGGUCUGUAUCCUCCCUCUUCCCUUCCCCCGAGAGCUUGCCACAUGCAUAGGCAUCCAGGUAUCUCCCAGUCUUUUCCCCCAAGCUCCCCCAACUGACUCAUACUUCAACAACCACACAAGCUGAAAAGAUCAUUUUACCACAGCAGUGCGUUUUUAUCAGUCCCAAAAUGCAGUACAACAGGGUCUAAACUUAAUCAUCCAAAACUACCCUUGUGCUGGAUGCUGGUGACAGAAAUUGCUUUGUAGAAAUGUUUAAAUGCUCAAGGAGUAGAAGGCUGUGAAACCACAAUUGUUUGUCCUGUAAACAUUUAUUAGAUUACUAAUGUCUUCUGUGGAAAAACAUUUACAAAGAAAUGCACACAUUCUGUAUUUUUAUUGUUCAUCUUGAAAAUAAAGUUAUGUUGUGUUUAA